GCCCCCAUCGUCUAGCCAGGUCCAGGACAUCGGCCUUUCACGCCGGCGACAGGGGUUCGAAUCCCCUUGGGGGCG
rnacentral:tRNA from 1 species